UACGGGGGGGGCAAGCGUUGUUCGGAAUUACUGGGCGUAAAGGGCUCGUAGGCGGCCAACUAAGUCGGAUGUGAAAUCCCCAGGCUUAACCUGGGAACUGCAUCCGAUACUGGAUGGCUUGAAUCCGGGAGAGGGAUGCGGAAUUCCAGGUGUAGCGGUGAAAUGCGUAGAUAUCUGGAGGAACACCGGUGGCGAAGGCGGCAUCCUGGACCAACACUGACGCUGAGGAGCGAAAGCCAGGGGAGCAAACGGG
rnacentral:rRNA from 1 species